GAUAAACGCUGGCGGCGUGCCUAAUACAUGCAAGUCGUGCGGUAAGGCCCCUUCGGGGGUACACGAGCGGCGGACGGCAGAGUAACGCGUAGGAACGUACCCCAAAGUGAGGGAUAACUGCUCGAAAGAGUAGCUAAUACCGCAUAUGAUCUUCGGAUUAAAGCAGCAAUGCGCUUUGGGAACGGCCUGCGUCCGAUUAGGUAGUUGGUGGGGUAAAGGCCCACCAAGCCAACGAUCUGUAGCUGGUCUGAGAGGACGACCAGCCACACUGGAACUGAGACACGGUCCAGACUCCUACGGGAGGCAGCAGUGGGGAAUUUUGGACAAUGGGCGAAAGCCUGAUCCAGCCAUUCCGCGUGCAGGAUGAAGGCCCUCGGGUUGUAAACUGCUUUUGUACAGAACGAAAAGGUUUCUACUAAUACUAGGAGCUCAUGACGGUACUGUAAGAAUAAGCACCGGCUAACUACGUGCCAGCCGCCGCCGUAA
rnacentral:rRNA from 1 species